UUAUUUUAUAAAAAAAAUAUUUUUAAGUAAUUAGGCAAAAUAAUUAUAUUCACCUGUUUAACAAAAACAUGUCUUUUUGAUUUUAAUAUAAAGUCAGUUCUGCUCAAUGAGAAAUUAAAUAGCUGCAGUAUUUUAACUGUACAAAGGUAGCAUAAUCAUUUGUCUUUUAAUUGAAGGCUGGAAUGAAUGAAUUAAUGAAAUAUAAACUGUCUCAAUUAUAUAAAAUAAAUUUAAAUUUUAAGUUAAAAUGCUUAAUUUAAUUUAAGGGACGAUAAGACCCUAUAGAAUUUUAUAUAUUAUAAAUUUUAUAAAUUUUAAUAAUAUAUUUGGUUGGGAGGAUUUUUAUAUUUAAUUAACUUUAAAAUUUUAAAAAUAUUGAUUUAUAGAAAAAUUUAAUUGAAAUAUAUUAUUAUAAUAUAAUAAAAGAAUAAAUUACCUUAGGGAUAACAGCGUAAUAUUUUUGGAAAGAUCAAAUUGAAAAAAUUGUUUGCGACCUCGAUGUUGAAUUAAAAUAAAUUAUAAAUGUAGGCGUUUAUAAAUUUAGUCUGUUCGACUAUGAAAAUUUUACAUGAUUUGAGUUCAGAUCGACGUGAGUCAGAUUGGUUUUUAUCUUUAAAAAAAUUUAAAAUUUUUGUACGAAAGGACU
rnacentral:rRNA from 1 species